rnacentral:lncRNA from 1 species
ACUCAAUGACAUGCAUGAUUGCCAACAUUUCACCUGGUCAUUUAGCAACUGAACACACACUAAAUACACUGAGAUACGCCGACCGGGUGAAGGAGUUGAGGGGACAGGGAGGACUACGAGGGGGAAGAAGGGGCAAGAUAAUUCCCUCCCCCAAACGUAACCUGUCCAACAGCAACAGCAACAGCAACAGCAACAGCAACAGCAUCAGCAACAGCAUCAGCAACAGCAACAGCAACAGCAACAGCAACAGCAACAGCAACAGCAACAGCAACAGCAACAGUGGAGGCAACAGCGUUGGCACCCGAGGGAAAAGUCCCCCUAAAAAGCCAAAGUUAGGGAGACAAAUGGAGGAUUUUGGACCCAUCAUGCCUACUAUGAGGUUGGCGUCAGGGGGCGCAAUUCUCUGCUCCACACCCAAAAACAGCAGAUGGGGAGAGGAAACAACUGCAAGCACAAGAAAGGGUAUUGGUGAACACAUAACACCUGUCAAAGGUUUGCUGGGAAUGGAUGAUAAGAGGGAGAGAAGGGAGAGAGCAGGAGGGAGGGAAGGUAGAAGAAGAGAAAGGUAUGUAGUAACUGACAGUGGAGGCCACUCAGUUUGUGACCAAAACUCAGAGGCUGGGUUGGUCUUGGGACAAGCAUCAGAUGAGCAGGUCCACUUGUGGGAGGCACAGGGGGAAUCUGGUUUCUACCACAGAGAAAAAGAGAACCAAAAAGAUGAAAGAAAAAAAAAGGAAGUGGGAGGAAAUAAUGAAAGAAGAGUGAUGGAACAGAGAAGACAAGUGGAAAGCACGGGACACACAUGUGGUGAAGAAGAAAGGUUUAGGGAAAGAAAUGUGCAAAAGGUUGAUGAAAGGGAUAAGAAAAGGGAGAGGCAUCUGAGACAGUAUCACCAGCAGCUGCAGCAGUUCAUGCCCUCAUCAGCUUCUUCAUCUAUCCUCUUCUCACCCUCUACAUGUCCGUCUUUUUCUUCCUCUAAUCGGGCCUCACUCUCUUCUUCGGUCUCUCCAUCUUCCUGUUCUUCUCUCCAACAAUCUUCCCGCCUCUCAGUUUCUGACCUUCAGUAUCAUGGCUUAGAAGAGGUUUUAGAUGCAUACAGAGC